AACGAACGUUAGCGGCGCGCUUAACACAUGCAAGUCGAGCGAGAAGGGGGCAACCCCGGUAAAGCGGCGUACGGGUGAGUAACACGUAGGUAAUCUACCUCGAGGUGGUGGAUAACCUUCCGAAAGGAGGGCUAAUACAGCAUGAGACCACGCCUUCGAAAGAGGGUGAGGUAAAAAGCGGGCCUCUCUACAGAAGCUCGCGCCACGAGAUGAGCCUGCGGCCCAUCAUGGUAGUUGGUAGGGUAACGGCCUACCAAGCCGAAGACGGGUAGCUGGUCUGAGAGGAUGAUCAGCCACACUGGAACUGAGACACGGUCCAGACUCCUACGGGAGGCAGCAGUGGGGAAUCUUGCGCAAUGGGCGAAGCCUGACGCAGCGACGCCGCGUGAGUGAUGAAGGCC
rnacentral:rRNA from 1 species